CUCACACACACUGUGGCUGAUUUUCACAGUUAUGGGCCCCUAAUGUUUCCUUCUUCAUAGUAUCUUACUCAUGGGAAGUGCUGCCGACCCUGACCCUAGGCCUCAGCAUGUGACUUUCUUUCUCAAACAGAUCUAAAGCAAUCACACUGACCUCUUUAAUCCACAUUAAUGAUGCUGUUGAGGAGGUAAUGUGUGGGGCAGGGGAGCAUGGUAUGUUCUUACAGUUGACUCUCCCUGGUUUGGUUGCCCUCUUCACCUGAGCACCUUUACAAGGAAUCUCCAGUGAUACAGCUGAUUUUCUCUCUUUCCUCCCUUCCGCAGAUGCUGCACCCAGGGCUACCACCUUGAGUCUGACUCCUCUUGGCUAAUUUUAUCAUUUGCAUGAUAGAGGAAGGCUGAGGAGGAGGGGUCUGUAAUAUGGAAGUACUUCCUUCCCCCACAUAAACUAAGAUUUUAGAGAACACCUUCCCUCGGAUGAGCUUUCUAGAAAAGUCUUUUUGUGCAUUUUUUCUCAGUGAUUACUCCUCCCCAGUUCGUGGCUAUAGGGAAUCUAUUUUAAUCGCUUCCAUGAGAACCUGAAGGCCCUGGAGGGCAAGUCCACACAAGUGUGGGGUGUACAGCCUCUAGGAGCGCUCACCUUCCCCCUAGUCCACACUUGUCCUCCAGACAUUCAGCGUAAUCACCAGUUUCUGGCUUUUAUACAGAAAGCAGCUAUUCAGUGUGGGAAUGUGAAAAAAAUGAGAAAACUGUGAUUUUAUUCUGACCUCAUUAACAACAAAGCUGAACAGCUACAAAUAAAAGAGAGAAAAAGCAUUCAACAUAUCUGAGUCGAUUUCACCGAGCAAACAAGAAAACUGAAAUCUGACAAGAUAGGAGCCUGCAAAGAGAACCAGGACCUACCUGCUAGUGUACAUAGGGCAGGUGCCACUGGAUGGCAUUUGAGAUAGAAACAGACUAACCUAGAAAUACUUAAUGACUUUUUUUUAGUAUGCAUGUACUAAUGGUGUUAGAGUGGCCUAGUGCUUGCAAGCUUUUCCUAGAGAACUUGAAAAAUCCACGGACAACUUCCUCAUCUGGUGUCUUGUGGUGUUGACUGGGGAAAAGAACAGCAGCUCCUGUGGAAUGCCUGGAUGCACCUCCACUACCUCCAGGGGAAAUCCACCAAAGCAUGUGUCAUGUGAGCUGUGGUGAAGUCAACAGAAACAAAAGGAAACAGAGGACACCAAGGAAACUUGAUCCAGAAACACCUCCCAUCUCCUUCCUCAGGAAAGAAAUCCUUACUCUUUAGGGUAAGGAUAGUGGGUAAAAAGCUGGGGACACUGGUGAAAAACAAUUCUGUAUGGGAAAAUACAUUCCAGCCCUGGGGAAAGAGUUAAGGACAGGACAAUCUGCAAGGCCACUCCCCAGAACUAUGCUUACUACUCCUGCAUAAGAAGAAGACUCAGUCAGAAGGUUGGAGGACGUCCCGCUUUGUCCAAGCUCCUUCACCACACAGUCAGCAAUUUAAACUGUCAGUAGGGUGCACUUUCCACAGCUGAAAGAGACAGACUCCCUGGGGAAAACUAAAUAUAAAGACCCAGGAUCAAACAGGGACACAAAAGCAAGUAUCAUGGGAGGAACUUGAAAUCUCUGUGGACAGCAGAAGCUGACUUCAACUCUGAUAAUUGUGGCAUCCAUAAAUUGCAAAUAUAGCCCUGAAUAGAUACACACAAAUGUCUAUAAUGAAGGCCCAGCAGAAUGGAAUGUGUGACCAUCUUCAGGAAGAAAAUAAUGAAUACAUGAGUACAAGAAAAUAAAUUACAAAUAAAAGUCAAACUUGAAUUCUAUAUGUAUUAAAAAUUUCAUUUAAAGAGAAAGUCAAAUGAAUACCCUGUAAGACAAUUCGAUUCUGAGAAAAUUUAUUGCCAGUGCAUUCAUCCUUCAGUAGGUGCUUUGGCAAAUUUUCUGCCAGGGUGAGUAGCCAUAUGAUAUACAUCUGAAACAUGAAUCUAUCCAAAUAAAACAGGUGGUCAAGAAUGAAAAAA
rnacentral:lncRNA from 1 species